UACGUAGGGUGCGAGCGUUAAUCGGAAUUACUGGGCGUAAAGCGUGCGCAGGCGGUUAUGUAAGACAGAUGUGAAAUCCCCGGGCUCAACCUGGGAAUUGCAUCUGUGACUGUAUAGCUAGAGUACGGUAGAGGGGGAUGGAAUUCCGCGUGUAGCAGUGAAAUGCGUAGAUAUGCGGAGGAACACCGAUGGCGAAGGCAGCCCCCUGGGAUAACACUGACGCUCAUGCACGAAAGCGUGGGGAGCAAACAGG
rnacentral:rRNA from 1 species